UGCAAGUCGAGGGGCAGCACAGGGUAGCAAUACUUGGGUGGCGACCGGCGCACGGGUGAGUAACGCGUAUGCAACUUACCUAUCAGAGGGGGAUAGCCCGGCGAAAGUCGGAUUAAUACCCCAUGAAACAGGGGUCCCGCAUGGGAAUAUUUGUUAAAGAUUCAUCGCUGAUAGAUAGGCAUGCGUUCCAUUAGGCAGUUGGCGGGGUAACGGCCCACCAAACCGACGAUGGAUAGGGGUUCUGAGAGGAAGGUCCCCCACAUUGGUACUGAGACACGGACCAAACUCCUACGGGAGGCAGCAGUGAGGAAUAUUGGUCAAUGGCCGAGAGGCUGAACCAGCCAAGUCGCGUGAAGGAAGAAGGAUCUAUGGUUUGUAAACUUCUUUUAUAGGGGAAUAAAGUGGAGGACGUGUCCUUUUUUGUAUGUACCCUAUGAAUAAGCAUCGGCUAACUCCGUGCCAGCAGCCGCGGUAAUACGGAGGAUGCGAGCGUUAUCCGGAUUUAUUGGGUUUAAAGGGUGCGUAGGUGGUGAUUUAAGUCAGCGGUGAAAGUUUGUGGCUCAACCAUAAAAUUGCCGUUGAAACUGGGUUACUUGAGUGUGUUUGAGGUAGGCGGAAUGCGUGGUGUAGCGGUGAAAUGCAUAGAUAUCACGCAGAACUCCGAUUGCGAAGGCAGCUUACUAAACCAUAACUGACACUGAAGCACGAAAG
rnacentral:rRNA from 1 species